AGUGAACGCUGGCGGUAGGCCUAACACAUGCAAGUCGAACGGCAGCACAGUAAGAGCUUGCUCUUACGGGUGGCGAGUGGCGGACGGGUGAGGAAUACAUCGGAAUCUACUUUUUCGUGGGGGAUAACGUAGGGAAACUUACGCUAAUACCGCAUACGACCUACGGGUGAAAGCAGGGGAUCUUCGGACCUUGCGCGAUUGAAUGAGCCGAUGUCGGAUUAGCUAGUUGGCGGGGUAAAGGCCCACCAAGGCGACGAUCCGUAGCUGGUCUGAGAGGAUGAUCAGGCACACUGGAACUGAGACACGGUCCAGGCUCCGACGGGAGGCAGCAGUGGGGAAUAUUGGACAAUGGGCGCAAGCCUGAUCCAGCCAUACCGCGUGGGUGAAGAAGGCCUUCGGGUUGUAAAGCCCUUUUGUUGGGAAAGAAAAGCAGCAGGUUAAUACCCCGCUGUUCUGACGGUACCCAAAGAAUAAGCACCGGCUAACUUCGU
rnacentral:rRNA from 1 species